UGACUACCUCACUAAUCACCAGACCAGAACGGACAAUUUAUACAGCCUGGACCAGGUGAAAAACUAGACCAUACACUUCACCACUAGACCACAAGGGAUUCAUUAACCCCUCCCUCCCCCCAUCAGGCCACCAAAAUUCAUAUCACUAUGUGUUAUAUAGGUGAGGAGCUCUGUGAUACCAUAUUAGGCACCUUACUGAGAGUUUUACUGUGGAGGAGCUUUUUGAUACACUUAUUGCGAAUUACUGCAAGUUUAAUAAUUGUGGAGCUCUGUGAUUAUAUGAUACACACCACUUGUUACUGUG